rnacentral:rRNA from 1 species
AUCCCGGCACGGGGAGGUAGUGACGAAAAAUAACGAUACGGGACUCAUCCGAGGCCCCGUGAUCGGAAUGAGCACACUUUAAAUCCUUUAACGAGGAUCAAUUGGAGGGCAAGUCUGGUGCCAGCAGCCGCGGUAAUUCCAGCUCCAAUAGCGUAUAUUAAAGUUGCUGCGGUUAAAAAGCUCGUAGUCGAAAUUGUGUCCUCGGCCGCCGGUUCGUCGCUCGCGACGCCAACUGGCGCGCACGCUGGACGUCCAGCCGGUACUACGAACUCGCCUACGGGGUGCUCUUAACCGAGUGUCCAGGCGGGGGCCGGCAACGUUACUUUGAACAAAUUAAAGUGCUUAAAGCAGGCUAAAUUGCGCUCGCAUACACGCGCAUGGAAUAAUCGAAUAGGACCUCCGUUCUAUUUUGUUGGGUUUUUGUGGAACGACAGACGGAGGUAAUGAUCAAUGGGUGCGGAUGGGGGCAUUCGUAUUGCGACGUUAGAGGUGAAAUUCUUGGAUCGUCGCAAGACGGACUUAAGCGAAAGCAUUUGCCAAAAACGCUUUCAUCGAUCAAGAACGAAAGUUAGAGGUUCGAAGGCGAUCAGAUACCGCCCUAGUUCUAACCAUAAACUAUGCCAGCUAGCGAUCCGCCGAAGUUACUUCUAUGACUCGGCGGGCAGCUUCCGGGAAACCAAAGCUUUCGGGUUCCGGGGGAAGUAUGGUUGCAAAGCUGAAACUUAAAGGAAUUGACGGAAGGGCACCACCAGGAGUGGAGCCUGCGGCUUAAUUUGACUCAACACGGGAAACCUCACCAGGCCCGGACACCGGAAGGAUUGACAGAUUGAGAGCUCUUUCUUGAUUCGGUGGGUGGUGGUGCAUGGCCGU